GACGUAGGGCGCAAGCGUUGUCCGGAUUUAUUGGGCGUAAAGAGCUCGUAGGCGGCCUGUCGCGUCGACCGUGAAAACCCGCAGCUCAACUGCGGGCUUGCGGUCGAUACGGGCAGGCUGGAGUUCGGUAGGGGAGACUGGAAUUCCUGGUGUAGCGGUGAAAUGCGCAGAUAUCAGGAGGAACACCGGUGGCGAAGGCGGGUCUCUGGGCCACUACUGACGCUGAGAAGCGAAAGCAUGGGGAGCGAACAGG
rnacentral:rRNA from 1 species